UACGUAGGGAGCAAGCGUUGUCCGCAAUCAUUGGGCGUAAAGCGCGCGUAGGUGGCCACAUAAGUCCGUUGUGAAAGUCAAAGGCUCAACCUUUGAAAGCCGAUGGAUACUGUGUGGCUAGAGUACGGAAGAGGCGAGUGGAAUUCCUGGUGUAGCGGUGGAAUGCGCAGAUAUCAGGAGGAACACCAAUAGCGAAGGCAGCUCGCUGGGACGUUACUGACACUGAGGCGCGAAAGCGUGGGGAGCGAACAGG
rnacentral:rRNA from 1 species